UUGCUGGCGAUCGUUCCAGAACGACUUUCUGUUGUCCCAAGGAGAGAAGUGAUCUACUUGAACACCAGCAGUAUUUUUUUCAUUCAUGUGAUAUGAAUGUAAGCUCACAGACCACAGAAACUAUGAAAGCUUUAGAAUAUCAAUGUGGAGAUUAAAAAAGUGUUUCAAAACACUUCUGAAGACUCUGGAGGGAAAAGUAUCAUCACCAGCAGCUUCUGGUGCAGUGCUUGGAAGCUGUAACCUACGGUUUCUCAGUAGCGAGCCUGUGCAUAUGUCUCUCAG